rnacentral:rRNA from 1 species
UGGCGAACGGGUGAGUAACACGUGGGUGAUCUGCCUUGCACUCUGGGAUAAGCUUGGGAGACUGGGUCUAAUACCGGAUAGGAACCGUCUUUAGUGUGGUGGUUGGAAAGUUUUUUCGGUGCAAGAUGAGCUCGCGGCCUAUCAGCUUGUUGGUGGGGUAAUGGCCUACCAAGGCGUCGACGGGUAGCCGGCCUGAGAGGGUGUACGGCCACAUUGGGACUGAGAUACGGCCCAG